GAACUUAAGCAUAUCAAUA
rnacentral:rRNA from 1 species